GUUUGAAUCAUGGCUCAGAUUGAACGCUAGCGGGAUGCCUUACACAUGCAAGUCGAACGGCAGCACGGACUUCGGUCUGGUGGCGAGUGGCGAACGGGUGAGUAAUGUAUCGGAACGUGCCUAGUAGCGGGGGAUAACUACGCGAAAGCGUAGCUAAUACCGCAUACGCCCUACGGGGGAAAGCAGGGGAUCGCAAGACCUUGCGCUAUUAGAGCGGCCGAUAUCGGAUUAGCUAGUUGGUGGGGUAACGGCUCACCAAGGCGACGAUCCGUAGCUGGUUUGAGAGGACGACCAGCCACACUGGGACUGAGACACGGCCCAGACUCCUACGGGAGGCAGCAGUGGGGAAUUUUGGACAAUGGGGGAAACCCUGAUCCAGCCAUCCCGCGUGUGCGAUGAAGGUCUUCGGGUUGUAAAGCACUUUUGGCAGGAAAGAAACGUCAUGGGUUAAUACCCGUGAUCUGACGUACCUGCA
rnacentral:rRNA from 1 species